UCUCCGUUGGUGAACCAGCGGAGGGAUCAUUACAGAGUCUCCGAACUCCAAACCUUUGUGAACAUACCACCGUUGCUUCGGCGGGACCCCCCCCGGGGUGGGCAGUGCACGGCACGCCCCGGGCGCCCGCCGAGGGCCCCAAACCAUUUCUCCAUAGUGGACUCUUCAGAGUUUGAUACACAAUCAAUCAAAACUUUCAGCAACGGAUCUCUUGGCUCUG
rnacentral:misc_RNA from 1 species